rnacentral:lncRNA from 1 species
AAGUCGAAUGAUGCAAUCUUUGAAAGAGCAGAAGCAAUUGCCUUACUAGAGUAUCGUACAGGAAAGCGUAGCUUCUCAGUGGGACGUCCGUGAAAUUGUGCAUCUCUCGGUGGGCCAUAGAAGUUGUGGACCUGUAAUCUUCGAAUACUGGCACAGUAGAAGACAUGUCCUUUAGUUCACCUGAACUUUUUAAAGUACGUAUAAACGCCCACAGAGCUCCUAACUCAGGCACGUAGAAGACUUCAGGCAUGGAGCAGGUUGGGACCCUGGCAAGCAAUUUUUACAACAGCAUUGUUGCUACUACAUUAUUCUUGUAUUUGAUCCUUUCAGAUUUUUUUGUAAGUGCAUUACAACUCUUCUCAGGUGCGGCCAUCCUCAGAUCUAGAGAACAGCAGAUCACCAGAAACGGGACUUGAUCUCGCGGAGGAGCUUCGCUUUGCUGGCAAUUUCUGCUUUAAGCGAC